UGGAUUGUGGUGUAAGCGUGCAGCCCGCAACGAGAGGUAAAUCCGCGUUGCAUAUAAAGGGUCAGGCGUGAUGCGUACCCAUUUUUUGGGGAUGUUGGUGAUCCUGUACUGUCAAGAAAAGCCUCUAGCGAUGUGUAUACAUGGCCCGUACCCAUAACCGACACAGGUAGUCAGGUAGAGAAUACUAAGGCGUUCGGGUGAACUGUGGUUAAGGAACUCGGCAAAAUGCCCCCGUAACUUCGGGAGAAGGGGGACCACUGCUGGUGACAGACUGGUUGAGCUGGUGGUGGUCGCAGAGAAUAGAGGGAAGCGACUGUUUAUUAAAAACACAGGUCCGUGCGAAAACGUGGAAGUUGAUGUAUACGGACUGACGCCUGCCCGGUGCUGGAAGGUUAAGAGGACCUGUUAGCCCACCUUGUGUGGGCGAAGCGGAGAAUUUAAGCCCCAGUAAACGGCGGUGGUAACUAUAACCAUCCUAAGGUAGCGAAAUUCCUUGUCGGGUAAGUUCCGACCUGCACGAAUGGCGUAACGACUUCCCUGCUGUCUCAACCACAGGCCCGGUGAAAUUGCAGUACGAGUAAAGAUGCUCGUUACGCGCGGCAGGACGAAAAGACCCCGGGACCUUCACUAUAGCUUGGUAUUGGUGUUUGGUUCGGUUUGUGUAGGAUAGGUGGGAGACUAUGAAACCUCAUCGCUAGGUGGGGUGGAGUCGCAAGUUGAAAUACCACUCUGAUCGGAUUGAGCACCUUAACCUUGGCCCAUGAUCUGGGUUGGGGACAGUGCCUGGUGGGUAGUUUAACUGGGGCGGUUGCCUCCCAAAAUGUAACGGAGGCGCCCAAAGGUUCCCUCAGCCUGGUUGGCAAUCAGGUGUUGAGUGUAAGUGCACAAGGGAGCUUGACUGUGAGAGUGACGGCUCAAGCAGGUACGAAAGUAGGGACUAGUGAUCCGGCACCUACGUGUGGAAGUGGUGUCGCUCAACGGAUAAAAGGUACCCCGGGGAUAACAGGCUGAUCUUCCCCAAGAGUCCAUAUCGACGGGAUGGUUUGGCACCUCGAUGUCGGCUCGUCGCAUCCUGGGGCUGGAGUAGGUCCCAAGGGUUGGGCUGUUCGCCCAUUAAAGCGGCACGCGAGCUGGGUUUAGAACGUCGUGAGACAGUUCGGUCUCUAUCCGCCGCGCGCGUUGAAACUUGAAGAAGGCUGUCCCUAGUACGAGAGGACCGGGACGGACGUACCUCUAGUGUGCCAGUUGUCACGCCAGUGGCAGGGCUGGUUAGCUACGUACGGAAGGGAUAACCGCUGAAAGCAUCUAAGCGGGAAGCCUGUUUUAAGAUGAGGUUUCACUUGAGGUACCCCACAGACUAUGGGGUUGAUAGGCCAGACCUGGAAGCACCGUAAGGUGUGAAGGCGACUGGUACUAAUUUACCGACAAACAACCAAC
rnacentral:rRNA from 1 species